ACCGCUCUUAGCCUGCUAAUCCGUGCUGAACUAAGCCAGCCCGGAGCAUUACUAGGUGAUGACCAAAUCUAUAAUGUGAUUGUCACUGCCCACGCGUUUGUUAUAAUCUUUUUUAUGGUCAUACCUGUGAUAAUCGGCGGCUUUGGCAACUGACUCGUCCCCUUAAUGAUCGGCGCCCCUGAUAUGGCCUUUCCACGAAUAAAUAACAUAAGCUUCUGACUCCUCCCCCCCUCUCUUCUCCUUCUACUUGCCUCAUCUGGCGUCGAAGCCGGCGCAGGAACUGGGUGAACAGUAUACCCGCCCCUCGCCGCUAAUUUAGCCCACGCAGGGGCAUCUGUAGACCUGGUUAUCUUCUCAUUACACCUAGCAGGUGUGUCAUCAAUUCUAGGGGCCAUCAAUUUUAUUACUACCUGCAUCAACAUAAAAUCCCCCACCCUUUCACAAUACAACACCCCACUAUUCGUUUGAUCUGUAAUAAUUACAGCAGUCUUACUAUUACUUGCCCUACCAGUUCUUGCGGCUGGCAUUACCAUACUUCUAACUGACCGAAACCUUAAC
rnacentral:rRNA from 1 species